rnacentral:pre_miRNA from 1 species
AUGCAGAUCACUUGGGGAUCUUAUUAAAAUUCAGAUUCUGGUUCUUUCAGUCCGGGUGGGAUCCAAGAUUCUGAUUUUCCAACAAGCUCCUGGGUGAUCCCCUU